ACAGCAGCAGCCGCGGUAAUACGAAGGGGGCUAGCGUUGCUCGGAAUUACUGGGCGUAAAGGGAGCGUAGGCGGACUGUUUAGUCAGAGGUGAAAGCCCAGGGCUCAACCUUGGAAUUGCCUUUGAUACUGGCAGUCUUGAGUACGGAAGAGGUAUGUGGAACUCCGAGUGUAGAGGUGAAAUUCGUAGAUAUUCGGAAGAACACCAGUGGCGAAGGCGACAUACUGGUCCGUUACUGACGCUGAGGCUCGAAAGCGUGGGGAGCAAACAGGAUUAGAUACCCCCGUAGUCCCUGUCUCUUAUAC
rnacentral:rRNA from 1 species